rnacentral:rRNA from 1 species
GACCUGUAUCCAGUCAGGAGCUUUCACAGGUGCUGCAUGGCUGUCGUCAGCUCGUGCCGUGAGGUGUUGGGUUAAGUCCCGCAACGAGCGCAACCCUCGUGCUAUGUUGAUUUCUCAUAGCAGACUGCCUUGUACAGCAAGGAGGAAGGUGGGAUGACGUCAAGUCAGCAUGGCCUUUAUGCCCUGGGCUACACACACGCUACAAUGGGUGGGUACAGAGGGUUGCCACGGAGCAAUCCGGAGCGAAUCCCUUAAAACCAUCCUCAGUUCGGAUUGUAGGCUGCAAUCGCCUGCAUGAAGCCGGAGCUGCUAGUAACCGCAGGUCAGCUAUACUGCGGUGAAUACGUUCUCGGGCCUU